UUCUUCAAGACAUUCAGCAAAGCACUUCUACUCCUGGACAAAUUGCCUUCAAUACAGGCCCGAGUCCCAGGAAAGUUGGAGGUCUCAUCCACGAGGGGAUGCUCUGCCUGGGACAUGUGCCAGCUGGGACUCUGAUCAGCUGAAGAACCGGGACCUCCCCAGCCAGUAAUAUCAGAUUCGGGGGCUUUCCCCGGCUUGGUAUCAAAAAGAGGAGUGGCCGGGGUCAUUUGUUUUAUUUAAAGAACAAGCUUCUCAUCCAGGACCAUGCAGCUGGAGGGGAUAGAGAAGAGAGGACAGUGUAAAGUGACAUCUGUCGGCUAGCAGUAAUUAAGCAGAGAUGUGUGGAGUUGCAGUGCUCUAAAUGGUCCCGUUAAAGUGUUGAUGAGCAGUGAAAUGUCUGAUUAAAUUUUAAGCAGGGAUAAAUGAGCCAGCUCUGCCAUAGGAUAAGGCUAAUGGAGUAGGAGACAGAGCAAAUUAAACGAACAAUGUGUUGCGGCUAGUGAAGGAAAAGGCUGGCUAGAGUCUAAGCACAGCUUUCUCUGGGUGAUCACAAAGAAUAAAUCUUCUGCAAGUACCCUCCUGAACUUCAGAUAGGCAAGUGUAAUCUAACAUACACCAAUGGGAAAUUAAGAGGCUGGAGUUCCAGUUCCAGCUCCGAUACCAUCUAAAUGACUUUAAGCAAAUCACGUCACUUCUUUCAGUC